rnacentral:rRNA from 1 species
AGAGUUUGAUCCUGGCUCAGGACGAACGCUGGCGGCGUGCCUAAUACAUGCAAGUAGAACGCUGAAGUCUGGUGCUUGCACUAGACGGAUGAGUUGCGAACGGGUGAGUAACGCGUAGGUAACCUGCCUCAUAGCGGGGGAUAACUAUUGGAAACGAUAGCUAAUACCGCAUAAUAGUAUUAACCGCAUGGUAGAUGCUUGAAAGGAGCAAUUGCUUCACUAUGGGAUGGACCUGCGUUGUAUUAGCUAGUUGGUGAGGUAACGGCUCACCAAGGCAUCGAUACAUAGCCGACCUGAGAGGGUGAUCGGCCACACUGGGACUGAGACACGGCCCAGACUCCUACGGGAGGCAGCAGUAGGGAAUCUUCGGCAAUGGGGGCAACCCUGACCGAGCAACGCCGCGUGAGUGAAGAAGGUUUUCGGAUCGUAAAGCUCUGUUGUAAGAGAAGAACUGUGAGAAGAGUGGAAAGUUUCUCACUUGACGGUAUCUUACCAGAAAGGGACGGCUAACUACGUGCCAGCAGCCGCGGUAAUACGUAGGUCCCGAGCGUUGUCCGGAUUUAUUGGGCGUAAAGCGAGCGCAGGCGGUUUGAUAAGUCUGAAGUAAAGGGCUGUGGCUUAACCAUAGUACGCUUUGGAAACUGUCAAACUUGAGUGCAGAAGGGGAGAGUGGAAUUCCAUGUGUAGCGGUGAAAUGCGUAGAUAUAUGGAGGAACACCGGUGGCGAAAGCGGCUCUCUGGUCUGUAACUGACGCUGAGGCUUGAAAGCGUGGGGAGCGAACAGGAUUAGAUACCCUGGUAGUCCACGCCGUAAACGAUGAGUGCUAGGUGUUGGGUCCUUUCCGGGACUCAGUGCCGCAGCUCACGCAUUAAGCACUCCG